AACUUUUAAGGCAUCCAAGAGUGAUGAAAAUUCUUCAAGAUGAAAUACAAAAUGAAGUAGGAAAUAAGAGAAUGGUUGAAGAAAAGGAUUUGAAGAAUUUUAAUUACCUAGAUAUGGUGGUUGAUGAAACCUUAAGACUUUAUCCUGUUGCACCUUUAUUAAUCCCUCGUGAAUGUAGAGAGAACAUAACAAUUGAUGAUUAUUCUAUAAAAGAAAAGACACGAGUUAUAGUAAAUGCAUGGGCAAUUGGGAGAGAUCCUGAUGUUUGGUCAGAAAAUGCUGAAGAAUUUUACCCAGAGAGAUUUAUUGAGAAAAAAAUGAAUUAUCUCGGACAAGAGUUUGAAUCUAUACCAUUUGGUUCUGGUCGUAGACGUUGUCCUGGAAUUCAAUUGGGUAUGAUUACGGUUAAGUUGGUUAUAGCUCAAUUCGUGCAUUGCUUUAACUGGGAACUUCCACAUAAUAUUAGUCCUUCCAAUUUGAAUAUGGAGGAGAAAUUUGGACUCACUAUACCAAGAGCUCAGCAUUUGCACGCAAUACCAAGUUAUCGUUUGGAUGAUGCUAAGCUUGAAUAGUUCCAAGAAUAAUUACUAUGUUCGUGUUCAUCAAGUAUAUAAUUGGUAAAGAUGCUUAGGAGGUCUAUUAAUGAUGUUUUAAUGUAUAUUGCUUGUUCUUUAUAUAUGUUUGAUAGCCAACAUUUGAGUCUUCAUUGGGACAUGGAGGUCAAUAAAAUCACAUACCUUCAUGAUCAAUGGUAUGGUGCAAGUCUAUAGUACAAAUCUCCUUCAUCUCUACCCUAUCUCUUUCUUUUACUCAGUAUUUGUUUCAAUUCUCUGUUAUUAUUAUUACUAGGGUUGUUCGCGGUGCGGUUUGGUUCGGUUUCAAGCAUAAUAAUAAUCCAAACCGCGAGAGAAAAAAGCAUGCGGUUUGGUUUGGUUCGGUUGUUUUUUAAAAAGUCAUCCAAACCAAACCAAUGCGGUUUGGAUUGGUUCAGUUGAUGCGGUUAAUCACGAGAUAAAUAAAAAAAUUACAUUAACUUAAUAUUGCCAACUAGUACCAAGCAAUUUUAAUUAUUCAAAAAAAGAAUUUGAAGUUCCAAAAUAGCAUUACAAUACCAAUAAAAGUUAUUUAUCUAAAAUAACAUUACAGAACCAAAAUAAUAGCUGGAUAGUGUUGGGCUUGGACUUGGGUUCACUUUGGUAUUGGGCUAGUACAAUACUUACUUAGUUUAAUAACAUUGAGUAUUUUUGCGGUUUGGUUUGGUUUGGUUCGGUUGCUGAGAUGUAAACCGCAAACCGAACCGAACCGCGCGGUUCAGUCUAAAAAUCAUCCGAACUCAUCCGAACCAAGUGCGGUUUUUUGCGGUUUCAGUUUGGGUUGGUUCGGUUUGCGGUUUUUCUAUUGGGUUGGUUCGGUUUUGAACACCCCUAAUUAUUACUGAUUUUAAAAUUGGUAUGGCACACUUUAGAAAUGAGGUAGACCUGAAGUUCUAAAGUUUUUUUAACACAACAUAUCACACAUGACAACUUAAUAACUAGAAUACUGCUCCAUUAAGAUUGGAGAACAACAUAUAAAAGAUGUAAAUACUUAUUAUUCCUCUAUGGUUUUCCACAAUGUACAUGUAUAAUAUACUGCACAUUAACUAUUAUUUGAUUCAAAAAGUAUUAAAGUAUGUUUAUAUUUUUAUUUGUAUUAUGUAUUGAUAUCAAAAUAAUGAAUAUCAUUCAAAAAAAAAAAAAAAAUCAAAAUAAUGAAUAUGGGUGGCAUUUAGGGUGGGAAGGGGAAAGAUUUUCCCACCAUAGGUCAGUUGACAUUUUACCGUUAAAUUAAAAAGGAAUACUGAUUUUAUUAUGGACUGUCUACACCCUAUCUUUUCCCACCCACCUUUCUCUCUCCUCCUUGCUCUCCACCACCCGCAACAUCACCUACAGCCACUAUCACCACCGGUUCCUUCCAUUCUCGUCCAAAGCAAGCUUCAGAUCCGACGCACCUAGCUCAAUCUCUCUUUUCCAGUUUCUCUUAAUCAUUCAAUCGCCCCAUUUAUAUCCCCCCUUCGUAAAAAAUUCCAUGAUGUGAUAAUCCAAAUAUGGGCUAUAAUAUUACUGUAAUAUUUAUUGUUUGCUACUUAAUUUUAGUUCAAUGGGUCACUACAUAUAUAUUAAUUAUCGAUUCUUACAGGUUUGAUUGAAGCCUAUGAAGAUUGAUUUUUAACUUUUUUUAGAUUGCAACUCAUGAAGAUUGAUUUUGAUAAUUGGUUCCAUAAAAAGCAUGUUUCUUAAUUGUAAGCACGUGAAGAUUUUUGGGUUGUAGUUUCAUGGUGGCUGGUGGUGGUGGGUGAGUGGGGGUAUGGAGGAGAGAGAAGAAUGGUGAGGUGAGUGAGGUUGGAGACAGAUUGAAAAAAUAUAGUGUGGGUAGACCAUAGUAUGAUUAGUGUUCCUAUUUGAUCUAAUGGUCAAAAUCAACUUUUUUAUGGUAGGAAACUCUUUCCCUUACCCACCCUAAAUGCCACCAUGAAUAUGAGAGAGUUUUGUGUAACUUUUUUGCAUGUGUUGUUUUCUGACUCUAGAUUUGGAUAACAAAACAAUCAAGUCUUUUGUUCUCUUUCUCUAUUAUAGAUCUACUUUCUCUCUCUCUCUAUGAUUCCCGUGCUAUACUAGAUCUGACAACUGAACUCUUGCGACUCAAUAAUUUCUUUCUUCAAUAUGAACUUUAAGACCAAAUUUAGUUUCUAAAUCUUAAAAAAUUUAAUCAUAAACAAUAACAUUUUAGUACAUAAAUUAAUUUCCAAAACCUGAUCUUUCUCCUGUAGACCAAAUAUAUUGUCUAUCCUGUUUCAUGUUUGUAAAUUGUAACAAGUUAAUUUUUUUUUUUUUAAGUUGUAACAUUCUAGUCAAAUACCUCACUGGAUCUUCUAAGUUUUACGUUUGUUUCAGAUAGGUCCUUUAAGUUUUUAAGGUUUUAGAUAUGUCAUUUAAGUUUCGAGUUUGUUUCAGAUAUGUCUUUUAAGUUUCUAAGGUUUCAGAUAGGUCCUUUAAAUUUCGAAUUUAUUUCAGAUAGAUCAUUUCUAUCGAAUCAACUUUAAAAAAUUAACUUAUUAUAAACAACCAACUUAAAAAUCGCUAGAAGUAUUUGACCUUUCCAUAACCAAAAUCUAAAAAACAAAUGUGGUAUUUUUCCUAUAAGACCACUUUCAAAAUCACUCAUGCUGCUGUAUUACUCGAGAUAAGAUUUAAAUUGCAAAUGUAAAUAUUAAAAAGAGGGUUAAUUAAAUUUUUAGUCCCUUUUUUUUUUUUAAAAAAAAAAAAGAAUUUUUAGUCUCUAUAAAUAUUCACAGUUUUGUUUUUAGUCUAUACAAAAUAAAAUCACACUUUUUAGUCAAUGUGACAUUUUAAGGACUAAAAAUGCUGAUGAAAUUUUUUUAUAUAGACGAAAAAUGCUAAUGAAAAAUUUUAUAGAGACUAAAAAUAUUGAUGGAAAAUUUUAUAGGGACUAAAAAAUGUGAUUUUACUUUGUAGGGACUAAAAACAAAAUUAUGAAUAUUUAUAAGGACCAUUUACUUAUUAACCCUUAAAAAGAUGAAUGUUAUUUGAACAACCGUUUGGUUGACAACUUUUGGAACAACUAUAAUUUACAAAGAAAAAGUAGGUAUGUGAACGAAAACCAUAGUAGAAAGAUAAAGUAAAGAAUAACGUAAGUAUGAUUGAGAAAGUUGUCAAAAAAAUUAUUAAAAAAUGGAUGUUCUAAUAUCAUUCCUCUAUUAAAAAACGUUACUAUUUGAUCACAUUAUUAGUAAGUUAUCUUGCUCAGCUAGUAAAUUAUUAUACCGAUGGAGUUUUCACGGUGAAUCAAAUUACACAGUGCUUUGAAAACGAGGAGGAUAACAUCCUUCUUUUACUUUUUAAAUUGACAAGCAUGCACAACGAGAUGGAUAAAAGAAUAUUAAAAUAAUGGUAAAUCAUAUCCAACGUGUGCAUGUACAUUGUCGGUUGUAACAAAUCGACGUUCAUAAAAUGUACGUGCAUAGUUGAUCAUUUAAAAAAAAAAAAAUAUUUGAAUGAUGUUUUUCAUAUUUGCAAUUAGGUGUCAUUUAAAAAUUAGUUCAUAUAAUUGCUAAUCCUGACAAUUUACAUUUGCAUUAUUUAAUCAUUUAAAAUUUUAUCUUUUGACCAACUUAAUCACAAAUUAGCAAAAUGAUACGGAAAUGGACAAAUAUACCCUCGUCGUUAUUAUGAGAAGAAGACUAAGACAAGGGUAGAAAUACAUAAAUAUCUCCAUAAAUAUCUCACUAGCUAGAUAUACAAACCAAACACGUACACCACCGGUUUCAAGAUAAUCUGAGAUUAACUUGGAGUUCUAUAUAGUCUUCAACCUUGUUACGUACUUCAGCCAAACCAAAGCAUUCAUUGUAGACAUGUCUUUUGCACUAACAACAACAAUGUUUGCUUUUCUUCUCUUCACUUUCAUGUACUUUCUAUUCAAACUCUACUUACAUCCAAAACAAAAAACCCUAAACCAUAAAAAACCACCAGGUCCAUCAACACUACCAAUAAUUGGAAAUCUUCACAUAUUAGGCAAACUUCCACAUAGAACACUUCAAUCACUCUCCAAAAAAUAUGGUCCAAUCAUGUCCUUACAACUUGGUCAAGUUCCAACUAUUAUCAUUUCAUCUUCAAAAGCUGCAGAAUCAUUCCUCAAAACUCAUGACAUCGUUUUUGCAAGUCGACCAAAGGUUCAAGGAUCAGAUCUCAUGUCUUAUGGUUCCAAAGGGAUGGCUUUUUCUGAGUAUGGUCCUUAUUGGCGUAGUGUGAGGAAAUUUUGCACUUUGAAACUUUUUAGUGCUUCAAAAGUUGAGAUGUUUGGUCCUAUUAGGAAGGAGAAGUUGGAUGUUUUGGUUAUAUCUUUGGAGAAAGCUGCCUUGGAGGGUGAGGUUGUGAAUGUUAGUGAGGUUGUAGAGAAUCUUAUUGAGGAUAUUGUGUAUAAGAUGAUGUUUGGUCGGAGUAAGUAUGAGCAAUUUGACAUGAAUAAGUUAGUUCUAGAAGCAAUGGCUUUGAUGGGAGCUUUUAAUCUGGCUGAUUAUGUACCUUGGCUAGGCGUUUUUGACCUUCAGGUACGUCUUGACAAUUUCAUAUUAAAAAUUCUAAUUAAUUUUAUGAGAUUAUUUGAUUAUAUGGAAAAGAGGUUAACAUUGGCGCAACUGAUAAAUUUGUUGUCAUGUGACUGAAAGGUCAUAGAUUCAAGUCCGGAAAACAACCUCUUAUAUAAACAACAGGGUAAGGCUGUGUACAUUACACUAAAUGGUGGGACCCCUUCCCGGGGCCUAUGUAUGCGGGAGCUUUAGUGCACCGGGUUGCCUUUUAUUUGAUGAUAUGGAAAAAAGAAAAAUAUUUAUAGUUUAUUGAUAUUUAAUUGGUGGUUAAGACUUGAGAGUAUCUUUGUGUUGAUUUUUUAUAAUUUUUAUAAAGAUGUAUCUUUGUGUUGAUAUCGCUAUAUAAGAAAGAAAAAGAUUGAAUAUUGUGCGUUGUGUUUGAAUGGAGGGUUUAAGAAGAAAAGGGAGGAGAAGAUUUACUUUUUUUUUUUUUUUAAAUUAGUAACACUAAAAUGUUUUUCAAAAAUUGAAAUAACAUGUGAUUUUUCCUCUAUGGCAAUAAAUUGGGUUACCUGAUUUUAUUUCAAUUGCCCUUCACUUUUAAUUAAACUUCUUCAGAUUCUUUCUCAUGUAACCAAAAUAAAUAGAUAGUAAAUAAAUAAAUCAGCUAUCGAUUUCAUACUCAAUUUACAUAUGCUUUUGUUAAGUUCAGUGAAAAUAUUCAUGUAGUAGCUGAUAUCAAUUAUAAGUUUAAUUUUUUGUUAGGGAUUAACACGAGCUUGCAAAAAAACCAGUAAAGCCCUCGAUGAGGUUUUGGAGAUGAUAAUAACAGAGCACGAACAGACUACUAAUACUGACAAAACUCGUAAUGAAGACUUUGUAGACAUACUUCUUUCAAUUAUGCACCAAACCAUUGAUGUCGAGGGUGAACAAAAUCUCGUCAUUGAUCGAACUAACAUCAAGGCUAUUUUGCUCGACAUGAUAGCGGCAUCAGUUCAUACAUCUGCUACCACGAUUGAGUGGGCUUUAUCUGAACUUCUAAGGCAUUCAAGAGUGAUGAAAAUUCUUCAAGAUGAGAUACAAAAUGAAGUAGGAAAUAAAAGAAUGGUUGAAGAGAAGGAUCUGAAGAAGUUUAAUUACUUAGAUAUGGUUGUUGAUGAAACCUUAAGACUUUAUCCUGUUGGACCCUUAUUAAUCCCUCGUGAAUGUAGAGAGAGCAUAACAAUUGAUGGAUAUUUUAUAACGAAAAAGACUCGAGUUAUAGUAAAUGCAUGGGCUAUUGGGAGAGAUUGUAACGUUUGGUCAGAAAAUGCUGAU
rnacentral:lncRNA from 1 species